UCGGAUUGCAGGCUGCAACCCGCCUGUAUGAAGUUGGAAUCGCUAGUAAUCGCGGAUCAGCAUGCCGCGGUGAAUACGUUCCCGGGCCUUGUACACACCGCCCGUCACACCAUGAGAGUCGGGAACACCCGAAGUCCGUAGCCUAACCGCAAGGGGGGCGCGGCCGAAGGUGGGUUCGAUAAUUGGGGUGAAGUCGUAACAAGGUACC
rnacentral:rRNA from 1 species